UACGAGUCACCUACCCGAAUAAAAAAACGUUUUAUCGUCUGGCUGAACAUUGUAAAAAUCUGGAGAAGCUUCAUUUACACUCCUCUAACUCCUUCCUUGUACAUUUUCCGAAACUUAUAUACCUCAAAAUAUGUAAUUAUGAUUAUAAUUUUCGCAAGUUAAGCAGCCGAUACAAUAAGCAUUUACAAGUUCUUGACAUGAAUUAUUUAUCUUUGGACGCUGAAGUAAUCGCACGCUUAGCUGAACUUCGUGCUCUCAAACAUCUCAUCUGUUAUGAUAUACCAUCACAUUUAGUAUAUCAACUUGCCAAAAUACCACUAGAGAAGAUAUGCAUCAAUAAAAAAAUUACCCAAAUCGAUAUUUUGCGAUUGGUGAAAGAGUGUUUAUCAUUAAAGGAUUUGACUUGCGAUUUUGAUAAGAUUGAUAAUGAAUUUCUUCCCAUUCUAUUGAAUACGUUGGAAGUGAGAGGAUUUCAACCAGAUCGGCCAUUCGAGCUAAAUUUGUCAACCUACAUUGAAAAUAAAACAACUUUUCUGACUAAACUUGGAUCUAUUCCGAAUUCAACUCUUUUGAACUUACAAUUAUCCCGUUAACUACAUCGGUUUUUGACAAUUUUUAUCUUCUGAACUGAUUGAAAACAGUCUUAAAAUUGGCUUUCAUUCAUUUUAAUUUUUUUAGAUCUUGUGCAUAAAACUAUAACCGCUGAGUGUAAUAAGUUGUUGAAAUUAUCCAAACAGAAGGCAUUUUAUAAAUAAUUAGCCUAAGAUCUUUUAUGUAUAUUUAUACUAUAUAUUUUUAAUACAUCCAUAAAUCAA